UAUAUGCAAAAGAUCAAUUUAGUAUAUAAUAAGUAGAGAUUUCCACAGUUUGCAUACUUACUUCCUACAUAGGGAGUAUGUGCGCAGUGACUCCUAUUGUUGAUUUAACAAUUGACACUCUUAUUUAAGACGUCAGUAAUCACCCAAGGCUCUUGUCAUGAGCUGCCAAGGUUAAGGAAGCCUCUGAGAUCACAAACUCCAACCUUAUUUAGACAAGGCCAUAUUCAAAGUGGAAGUUCUCUCCUCCCUUCAGAGAAAGUACCUCCUUCUUGGAUGGCCCGUUCUUUCCACUGGGAUCUCACUCAGAGAUCUUUCAUUUAGGUCAUUUUUUGUCACAGUGUUUCGGCUUUCCAUGCCUGAGAAACUCUCAUGGGCUUUUUUUCUGCUGCUGUUUUAAACAUUUUAAAUUUAUUAACUGAAUUCAUUUUUACAGGAACUUUCGGGGGUGGCACAGAAGACCAUAUCUAUGGCCUGCUGUGCUCUGCUGCCCGGGCCUAUGCCUUCACACCUUGCAGCUCUGAGCCUUGGCUGCCAGCUCUUCUCAGAGGUGUUCUCAUCGUGGAAGAACCAUCCAUUCCUCUCUCUCAGGCUUUCAUGCAGGGGAGAUUAGCAAGAUCUAGGCUACAGGGAAGGUAGCUGGAUGUGAUUUCAGGUCUUCUGCUGAGGGCAGGCCAGCUCUCCGGCUGUUUAUCUGCCACCUCCUGAAGAAGAGAACUGUGGACUCUGUUCCGUGCACCAUGUUUCAUGACGAAGCAUUCUGUUCUUCUGCUGACAGCAUCACCACGCUCAUCUUCUGUGAGCACUGAGUGCCGCCACCACUGACUCAUCCUGGGGGUUCUUGCUCAUCUUCAGUUAAGUUCUUUAUGCACAUGCUAUAACUAAGAGAUGUACAGAGGCGAAAUUCUCUCUGUGUUUGUGAAGUUCCCUCCCCUCCAGCAGUCUGUCUUCCAAAGUUUGCUUCCGUUUCUCCAGCCUCUGAUGUCUUUCAUUAUAAUUCAGAUAAUUAGGGCCAGUGUUGUGGCAUAGCAAGUAACUCCACCUCCUUCAAUGCUGGCAUUCCAUCUGGGCACUGGUUGGUGUCCUGGCUGCUCCACUUCCAAUCUAGAUCCUUGCUAAUGAGCUAGGAAAAACAGUGGAUGAUGGUCCAAGUUUUUGGACCCCUGUUAUCCACAUGGGAGACCCUGAUGAAGCUCCUGGUUCCUGACUUCAGAAUGGCCCAUUGCUAGCUGUUUUAGCCAUUUGGGGAGUUAACCAGCAGAUGGAAGAUAUCUCUUGCUCUCUGUAUCUGUUUCUCCCUCUAUGUUAUUCCACCUUUCAAAUA
rnacentral:lncRNA from 1 species